rnacentral:rRNA from 1 species
UAAGGAAUAUUGGGCAAUGGACGCAAGUCUGACCCAGCCAUGCCGCGUGAAGGAUGACGGCCCUAUGGGUUGUAAACCUCUUUUGUACGGGAAAAAACCUUCGAACGUGUUCGAAGCUGAUGGUACCGUAAGAAUAAGCAUCGGCUAACUCCGUGCCAGCAGCCGCGGUAAUACGGAGGAUGCAAGCGUUAUCCGGAUUCAUUGGGUUUAAAGGGUGCGUAGGCGGGAUGAUAAGUCAGUGGUGAAAUCCUACAGCUUAACUGUAGAACUGCCAUUGAUACUGUCAACCUUGAGUACAAUUGAAGUGGGCGGAAUGUGUCAUGUAGCGGUGAAAUGCUUAGAUAUGACACAGAACACCGAUAGCGAAGGCAGCUCACUAAACUGUAACUGACGCUGAGGCACGAAAGCGUGGGGAUCAAACA